rnacentral:rRNA from 1 species
UUGAAAGGGAAACGAUUGAAGUAGUAUGUAGGAGGAAUAAUUGGUGGUGUGAGUCUUAUUCUCGUGUGAUUCUGUUGGAGGUUAGAUAAUUUUGAUUGUCAUAAAUAAUUGGGGUAAUGUGGUUUUUGGUGGAGUGUUAUAGACCNGGUGGAUGUGGGGAUUGGGAUUGAGGAUUGAGGGAUGCCUCUUGGCUAGUAACNUGAUUCCUGGUGUCACUCGUUUCGACAGNUUGNUGAUNNUUANNGGANUGGGGUUAGGUGUCGGUNUGAUCAUAAAUUCGUUAAGGAUGUUGACGUA